AAUGAACGUUGGCGGCAGGCUUAACACAUGCAAGUCGAACGAAAAGUAAACUUCGGUUUAUGGAUUCGUGGCGGACGGGUGAGUAUAAUAUAGAGAUCUACCAAGUAGUGGGGGAUAACAGUUGGAAACGACUGAUAAUACCGCAUACACCAUAUUGGAAAAGCCUUCGGGCGCUAUUUGAUGAGUCUAUACCGGAUUAGCUAGUUGGUGGGGUAAAGGCCUACCAAGGCAACGAUCUGUAGCUGGUUUGAGAGGAUGAUCAGCCACACUGGGACUGAGACACGGCCCAG
rnacentral:rRNA from 1 species